rnacentral:rRNA from 1 species
AACGAACGCUGGCGGCAGGCCUAACACAUGCAAGUCGAACGAACCCUUCGGGGUUAGUGGCGGACGGGUGAGUAACACGUGGGAACGUGCCUUUAGGUUCGGAAUAACUCAGGGAAACUUGUGCUAAUACCGAAUGUGCCCUUCGGGGGAGAGAUUUAUCGCCUUUAGAGCGGCCCGCGUCUGAUUAGCUAGUUGGUGAGGUAAUGGCUCACCAAGGCUACGAUCAGUAGCUGGUCUGAGAGGAUGACCAGCCACAUUGGGACUGAGACACGGCCCAAACUCCUACGGGAGGCAGCAGUGGGGAAUCUUGCGCAAUGGGCGAAAGCCUGGCGCAGCCAUGCCGCGUGGAUGAUGAAGGUCUUAGGAUUGUAAAAUCCUUUCACCGGUGAAGAUAAUGACUGUAGCCGGAGAAGAAGCCCCGGCUAACUUCGUGCCAGCCGCCGCAGUAAGAC